rnacentral:rRNA from 1 species
AUUGAACGCUGGCGGCAGGCCUAACACAUGCAAGUCGAACGGUAGCACAGGGGAGCUUGCUCCCCGGGUGACGAGUGGCGGACGGGUGAGUAAUGUCUGGGGAUCUGCCCGAUGGAGGGGGAUAACCACUGGAAACGGUGGCUAAUACCGCAUAACGUCGCAAGACCAAAGAGGGGGACCUUCGGGCCUCUCACUAUCGGAUGAACCCAGAUGGGAUUAGCUAGUAGGCGGGGUAAUGGCCCACCUAGGCGACGAUCCCUAGCUGGUCUGAGAGGAUGACCAGCCACACUGGAACUGAGACACGGCCCAGACUCCUACGGGAGGCAGCAGUGGGGAAUUUUCCGCAAUGGGCGAAAGCCUGACGGAGCAAUGCCGCGUGGAGGUGGAAGGCCUACGGGUCGUCAACUUCUUU